rnacentral:rRNA from 1 species
GACUAGUGGAUUGUUUUAUAUAAAAAAAGAAUUUUAAUUUUUAAUGUAUUAAAGUAAUAAGAAAAAUUGAAAUAAUUUUUAUUAUUGAUAGUUUAUUAUUACAGUAAUGUAAUUUUUAUUAUAGUUAUAUAUUUAAAAGUAAAGUUUAAAUUUUGUAUCUUGUGUAUCAGAGUUAAAUAAAAUGUAAAAUUUAAUUUAUAUUUUCGAAUGAAAAUGAUUUAAUUAAUUAUUAAAUUUAUUGUUGAAUAAAUAUUUUAAAUAGUUAAUUGGUAAUGAAAAGUUAUUCGUAUUUUCAGAUAUCUAAUUUUUUAAUAGUUGAAUUCAAUUCAGCUUAUGUUAAUUUUAUUUUAUAUUAAAUUAAAUUUAAUAUAAAAGGUUUAAACAUUAGUAAAAUUUUUUGGGAUAAGCUGAAAAAUUAAGUUAAAUUCUUAUAGUUAAUAAAUUUUAGGAAAUUAAUAAAGUUUGAAUUUCUUAUUUAAUUUAAUUUUUUAAUAAAUAUUUUUUUUUAUUAUUUAAUUUUAAAUUUUGGUGAUUAAUAGAUUUAUUAAAAUUUAUAUUUGAAUUUAUUAUUUAUAUUAAUAAUGUUUAAAUUAGUAUACUAUAGAAAAAAUUAAUGGAAUUUUUGAUUAUAAUUAUAUAUUGUUUUAUAAUUUAAUUUAAUUAAUUAGGCAAAUUUAUAAAUUUAACUGUUUACCAAAAACAUUUCUUUUUGAUUUAUUAAUUUAAAGUAAAAUCUGCCCACUGAAAUUUAAUUGAAGGGCCGCAGAAAUUUAACUGUGCUAAGGUAGCAUAAUAAUUUGUCUUUUAAUUGAAGACUAGAAUGAAUGAUUUAAUAAAAUUAAUACUUUUUAAAAUUAAUAUGUAUAAUUUAAUUUUCUAGUUAAAAAGCUGGAAUAUUUUAAAAAGACGAGAAGACCCUAUAGAUUUUUAUAAUUAAUUUUAUGAAUAUAUGUAUUUAGAGUAUUAAAUAAAAUUAAUUAUUUAGUUGGGGUGACUAUAAAAUUUAAUAAACUUUUAUUAUUGAAACAUUAAUUGAUGAAUAUUAAUAUUGAAUUAAAUUUAUUAUUUUUAGAAUUUAAUUACCUUAGGGAUAACAGCAUUAUUAUUAUUAUAAGUUCUUAUUGUAAUAAUAGAUUGUGACCUCGAUGUUGGAUUAAAAUAAAUAUUAAUUGAAGAUGAUUAAUUAUUAAGUCUGUUCGACUUUUAAAAUUUUACAUGAUCUGAGUUCAAACCGGUGUGAGCCAGGUUGGUUUCUAUCUUUUAAUAAAAAUAAAUUAUUUUAGUACGAAAGGAUUUUUUAAUUGAAUUUAAUUUUAAUUUAUGAAUUUUAUUAAUUUUACAAUUUAAAGUAUUUAUUUACAAAAAUUU